rnacentral:rRNA from 1 species
UACGUAGGGUGCGAGCGUUAAUCGGAAUUACUGGGCGUAAAGCGUGCGCAGGCGGUUUGUUAAGACAGAUGUGAAAAUCCCCCGGGCUUAACCUGGGAACUGCAUUUGUGACUGGCAAGCUAGAGUAUGGCAGAGGGGGGUAGAAUUCCACGUGUAGCAGUGAAAUGCGUAGAGAUGUGGAGGAAUACCGAUGGCGAAGGCAGCCCCCUGGGCCAAUACUGACGCUCAUGCACGAAAGGCGUGGGGAGCAAA